AGAUUGAACGCUGGCGGCAGGCCUAACACAUGCAAGUCGAGCGGUAGAGAGGUGCUUGCAUCUCUUGAGAGCGGCGGACGGGUGAGUAAUGCCUAGGAACCUGCCUAGUGGUGGGGGAUAACGUUCGGAAACGGACGCUAAUACCGCAUACGUCCUACGGGAGAAAGCGGGGGACCUUCGGGCCUCGCGCCAUUAGAUGAGCCUAGGUCGGAUUAGCUAGUUGGUGAGGUAAUGGCUCACCAAGGCGACGAUCCGUAACUGGUCUGAGAGGAUGAUCAGUCACACUGGGACUGAGACACGGCCCAGACCUCCACGGGAGCAGCAGUAGGAAUA
rnacentral:rRNA from 1 species